rfam:Triticum aestivum genome assembly, contig: Triticum_aestivum_CS42_TGACv1_scaffold_526747_6DL
GAUAUACUCCCUCUGCCUGAAUUACUUGUCGAAGAAAUGGAUGUAUCUAGCGUAUUUUAGUUCAAGAUACAUCCAUUUCUAUCCAUUUUUGUGACAAGUAAUUCAUGAUGGAGGGAGUACAUG